rnacentral:rRNA from 1 species
AGAGAGAGACAUGCGCGCAUAUCAAUAAGCGGAGGAAAAGAAACUAACAAGGAUUCCCUUAGUAACGGCGAGUGAAGCGGGAAGAGCUCAAAUUUGAAAUCUUCAAGGUUUUACCUUGACGAAUUGUAGUUUAAAGAAGUGUUUUCUGCUGAAGUUUUGGUAGAGGUUCUUUGGAAUAGGACAUCAUAGAGGGUGAGAAUCCCGUAUUUGACCAUUAUUUUCAGCUUUGUGAUACACUUUCAAAGAGUCGGAUUGUUUGGGAAUGCAGUCCAAAAUGGGUGGUAAAUUUCAUCUAAAGCUAAAUACUUGGCGAGAGACCGAUAGCGAACAAGUACCGUGAGGGAAAGAUGAAAAGAACCUUUGAAAAGAGAGUUAAACAGUACGUGAAAUUGUCAAAAGGGAAGCGUUUGACACCAGUGUUGUUUUCUCGAAAAUCAAUUAAAAAUGGCUCGAUUUUGUAUUGUUGAGACCUUAAAAGCUCACUGUACAUUUUUCGUGUCUUUUUUAAUGCACUUUUCGUUUAACAAGUCAACAUCAGUUUCUUUUGUUGUAAAAGGGUCAUUGGAAGGUGGCUUUCUUUUCGGAGAAAGUGUUUAUAGCCUUUGGCCUCUGCAAUCGAAGAGACUGAGGUCUGCAGCGUAGACUCUUCGGGGUUAGAUACAUUUGUGCUAAGUUAUAGCUUUUUAUAGACAACUUGUUGACUAUAAUUAGUCUUGUAGCUUACUCGCUUAUGCUAUUUUACCUACGCUUAGGAUGUUGAAGAUGUAGCACAUCAU